rnacentral:lncRNA from 1 species
ACUCACUGGGCUUUCUUUCACAGCACUGGGUGAAGGCAGUCUACUUCAGGAGAAGCAAUGUGAUUUACCAAGCUAAGUAUUUCAUUUUUUCUAUCACAAAGGAUGGGAGGGUGGAUGUGUGAAUCUGUGCACUUUAAGAAGUGAUUUUUUCAAAAGCAGUCUAAAAUAAAACUAAGUUCAGAGAUUCUUAUUUUGAAUGUUUUAUUAUGUUGAAUUUAAAUAUAAACUCUUCAGAGUAUAAAAACCAGGUAAAUCUUACAGCUGACGCAGAGAUAGAAGCCUGUUAACACAUAUACAUUACUAUCUUAAACUACCUUCUUAAACCGAUCAGUUUAACUUACCAUAACGGAAAUAUCUAAAAUUUAGAAAAGGAACAAAGUUUUUAUUUCCCUAAAGCCCUUAAUUCAGGUCUUAGGCUAGAACUUCAUUUUUUAAAAGUUAUUUUUAAAAAAUAUUUAAUACUUUAUUCAUACAGAAAUGCCCUGUAUUGUAUGGACUCUGUAUUAUAUAGUCUGUAGCUGUGCUGAGGACAGUGUUGACUACUAAAGGCAAAGUCUUAAAAUGAAAAGUUCAUCUACUGUUAGGCAAGUCCCAUUAAGUUAGGAAGUUAUUAGACCCCUGGAAGCUGAUGCCUGAUUUCCUCCUCAAAAUUUUUUUAACUUAUUGACAGAUAAAAAUCUGCUCUGCUGUAAUCAAGAGAUUUCCUGUUGAGAUUAAAACUGAGAACUUCAUUUUUUAAAUAAAGAAUAAUCAAAACAAUUUUAUAAACUGAGUGGCUUUCCAAAGCUAAUUUUCUACUAGAUGCAAUGAAAUUAUAGAUAGUAUUACUGUUCUCAAUCAUCAUUUUAGUUUGUUUUAAAAUCAGUCAUAUUUCUAGGGUUUUUUUCUAUAUUCCCCCAAUAAAAAGGCAAGUCAACUAUGUAAUCUUCAUUAUUAAUAUGAUGACCUAACAUAUUAUGCAGGUGCUCAGUUGCUGAGGUUAGCAUGUCAGAAUUGAUCAAUGAAAAAAUUCAUAGUUUGAAUCACAGUGGACUCCACCUGCCACAUUAAAGCAGUAGAACAGAAGAGACAUGAAAAUGACACAGUAUUAAUCUAUCAUCUACCUUUUAACAGCUGAUGGAAACACAUACACUGUAUCUAUCAUCUAUCUACCCAUUUAUAUUUAUGUAUAUAUGUAUUAUAUAUCUUACACAUUAGAUAUGUAUUAUACACAUUAAAAUGAGGAGCACAUAGUCAUCUAGUAUAAAAAUAGCUAAAUCACUGUGAUAAGUUCCAAGAAAGACAAGAACAGGGUGCCAGGUUUGUGUACAAUAUGAGCACCAUGGUUUCAUAAGUUGGUAGCUAAGUAUUGAAACUGACUGAUGAUGUUAUUUAUGUUUGAAUUAUAAGGUCAUGAAAUCCCAGAACCGGAAGAGAUCUUUAAAAUCAUCUAGUCCAACCAGUCAUUCACUGCUUGAAUUUUUCUUAUUAUUCACUUGACCAUUGCUGAUAUUUGACUAUUUUUUGACUUACAAACACAGCAUUUUUAUACAGUUCAACCUAAUACAAACAUUUAUUAAGUUUGGUGCUGGGCCAGGACCACAUAAGAUGGAUUAGUCAAGACAACCCUACCCAACUCUUUAUACAGGGGAGAAAUGUGAAACCAAAUAAUUAUAACAUAGUGACUAUUUGUAGAAAUAAAAUGGCUAAAGUGGCCUCACCUAUCCAAAAUGAACAGGCUUGGUGCUGAGUUGAGUGGUCAAAUUGUGUGAUCUAAUGCAACAGUUCAAAACUCCAUCAAACUCUAUGAGGCUAUUCGUAACCAAUGAGGGAUUCACUACAGAGACAUGAAUUUCGGCCACUUUCUAGCUUGAGCUCAUGGCUAAAUAGUGAAGCAUUUACUCGUGCUUCUCCAGCUUCUUGGAGAACUCACUCAUGCUGCAGGAAAAGAUUACAAUUUUACCAGUCACUUCAGUCUCUAUCCCAAAAGCUGUGUUUCCCAUAGCACAUGGCUAUGGGUUCAUAGACAUUGAAGGUUAAGUAGAAAUUACUCUUAGAAGCAACUUCUAUUGACCACGAUCCCACCUGUUAGAAAUAGGUCCUAACUGUGUAAAUGAUGAAAGGACUAUCUUUCCUUGGUAUUUAAUUCUAUUGGCUUCAGUUAGUCACUUGAAACUGCACAAGAUGGAGAUGAAUUCCUUAAUGUUCUUAUUUCAGCACAUAACAUACACAGUGCUAGGCUGGCAUCAGAAAAUAGAUAUGCUAUGGCCCCUGUCCUCAAGUUAUGCUAAAGUCCUCUUAAGUCUAAAUACUUUAAAAAGGUUUGAUGAGUGUAAUAUAUUCAUCCAUCCAUCCAUCAUUUAUGAAGCACUGACUAACGUCAGGCAUUUUCCUGAACUCUGGGAUAAGUGGGAAAUAAGACAAAGUCCCUGCUGCCACCCCACCCUUACCAUGUAUAUAUUUAUUGGAACAAUAUACUGAAUUUUCAAAAGGACAUUCCACUUAUGUGCUUUUUUCAUUUGUUUCAGCAACCGGAGAAAACUGUAUCACUCAGAAUCUGAGUGGUGGCAGAGACUAUAACUGCCUUGUUCGCUGCUAUAUCUGCAACGCUAAAAGUAUACUGUCUGCCACAUACAACUGGAGAGCCUGUAUCACUCAGAAUCUGAGAGGCAGCUCCUGACUUGAAAAUGAUCAUUAGAUCGAGUCUUGCUCUGUCACCCAGGCUGGAGUGCAGUGGUGUGAUCUGCAGCCUCAAAAUCCUGGACCAAAGCAAUCCUCCCACCUUAGCCUCCCAAGUAGUUGGGAUUACAGAAGUGAGCUACUAUGACCAGCUUCAAAUUUCUUUAAUAGCUUAAACCUGUCCAAGCAAGAUGAGAAACAUAACACCUAGUCUAUUAUCUCACUGGUUCCAUGAUUUUAUGAGUCAGAGCGAACUGAAGUUUGGCUCAAAUCAAAGUUUAUGUUAUUGCUCCUGCAUUCUUCUUUUGAAUCAUAAUAAAAAUCUCAUCCAACAAGGAAGCUGAGGUUCAGAGUUAAUGAUGAGAGCAUAUGGAAUUUGAAUCCAGGUUAAGACAACUUCAAAGCUGGUGCCAUUUUCCACUACCCAGCACAGUCACUGGUAAAGGUAUCCUUCCAGACAGAAUGUGUUCUAGUUACGGGUAUGCAUUUUCUUUCCUGAAAAAGUAAACCCUCUAUCUGUGAAAUAACUGCUAAAUCUUCUUGUGUGGUUUUUAUAUACUAAUUAAUCUCUUAACAACCUAAUACAUGUUUUUGUUAUAAAUAACCUAAUAUUCAUUUUGUGAAAUGCAGCAAAAAGGAUAAAAUGGUCAUUUCCUUUCAUUAA